GCGGUGCUAUACAUGCAGUCGAGCGGACAGAUGGGAGCUUGCUCCCUGAUGUUAGCGGCGGACGGGUGAGUAACACGUGGGUAACCUGCCUGUAAGACUGGGAUAACUCCGGGAAACCGGGGCUAAUACCGGAUGCUUGUUUGAACCGCAUGGUUCAAACAUAAAAGGUGGCUUCGGCUACCACUUACAGAUGGACCCGCGGCGCAUUAGCUAGUUGGUGAGGUAACGGCUCACCAAGGCGACGAUGCGUAGCCGACCUGAGAGGGUGAUCGGCCACACUGGGACUGAGACACGGCCCAGACUCCUACGGGAGGCAGCAGUAGGGAAUCUUCCGCAAUGGACGAAAGUCUGACGGAGCAACGCCGCGUGAGUGAUGAAGGUUUUCGGAUCGUAAAGCUCUGUUGUUAGGGAAGAACAAGUGCCGUUCAAAUAGGGCGGCACCUUGACGGUACCUAACCAGAAAGCCACGGCUAACUACGUGCCAGCAGCCGCGGUAAUACGUAGGUGGCAAGCGUUGUCCGGAAUUAUUGGGCGUAAAGGGCUCGCAGGCGGUUUCUUAAGUCUGAUGUGAAAGCCCCCGGCUCAACCGGGGAGGGUCAUUGGAAACUGGGGAACUUGAGUGCAGAAGAGGAGAGUGGAAUUCCACGUGUAGCGGUGAAAUGCGUAGAGAUGUGGAGGAACACCAGUGGCGAAGGCGACUCUCUGGUCUGUAACUGACGCUGAGGAGCGAAAGCGUGGGGAGCGAACAGGAUUAGAUACCCUGGUAGUCCACGCCGUAAACGAUGAGUGCUAAGUGUUAGGGGGUUUCCGCCCCUUAGUGCUGCAGCUAACGCAUUAAGCACUCCGCCUGGGGAGUACGGUCGCAAGACUGAAACUCAAAGGAAUUGACGGGGGCCCGCACAAGCGGUGGAGCAUGUGGUUUAAUUCGAAGCAACGCGAAAAACCUUACCAGGUCUUGACAUCCUCUGACAAUCCUAAAAAUAGGACGUCCCCUUCGGGGGCAGAAUGACAAGUGGUGCAUGGUUGUCGUCACCCCGGGCC
rnacentral:rRNA from 1 species